AGUGAACGCUGGCGGUAGGCCUAACACAUGCAAGUCGAACGGCAGCACAGGACAGCUUGCUCUCUGGGUGGCGAGUGGCGGACGGGUGAGGAAUGCAUCGGAAUCUACUCUGUCGUGGGGGAUAACGUAGGGAAACUUACGCUAAUACCGCAUACGACCUACGGGUGAAAGCAGGGGAUCUUCGGACCUUGCGCGAUUGAAUGAGCCGAUGUCGGAUUAGCUAGUUGGCGGGGUAAAGGCCCACCAAGGCGACGAUCCGUAGCUGGUCUGAGAGGAUGAUCAGCCACACUGGAACUGAGACACGGUCCAGACUCCUACGGGAGGCAGCAGUGGGGAAUAUUGGACAAUGGGCGCAAGCCUGAUCCAGCCAUACCGCGUGGGUGAAGAAGGCCUUCGGGUUGUAAAGCCCUUUUGUUGGGAAAGAAAUCCAGCUGGCUAAUACCCGGUUGGGAUGACGGUACCCAAAGAAUAAGCACCGGCUAACUUCGUGCCAGCCGCCGCGGUAA
rnacentral:rRNA from 1 species